UACUUAUGUAGAAAUCUUAAGAAACUGAAAAUUAGGUGGUGCUGCUGAUGCAGGGAGUGGGAUGCGGACCGAGGAAACACACUUGCCAGCAGAUCUGCGUCUCUGAGAGAGGUUUUUCCCUUGUGUUUCAUCCGUGGAAGAACACUUGCCACUCAUGGACCUCAUCUCACACGCCACCUCCUCUGCUGCUGCCUCUCUGUAGAGCUCAGAGCUGAAGCGAUCCUCACAGAGAUAUGGACAUGCCCCAGUUACUUGUCAGUUUGCUUAACUAUUUCAAAACACCAGCUGCAAAGGAGCACCGGAGUUGGAAGUAGAAACUGCAUGAGGACAGAGCCUGAAUACACUGCAUUCAAGACAGCAAGAUGUUUGCACAAACAUACACCGCAUUCAAGAUGGUCAGAAAAAGUCAGAAAAAAAAG